GUUGUAUGGUUAAGUGACUAAGCGUAUGUGGUGGAUGCCUUGGCAGUUAGAGGCGAUGAAGGACGUGUUAAUCUGCGAAAAGCUGAGUUAAGCCGAUAAAAGGCGUUAUAGGCUCAGAUGUCCGAAUGGGGAAACCCACCCGUCAUCAGGCGGGUAUCAUUAAGUGAAUUCAUAGCUUAAUGAGGCGAACCGGGAGAACUGAAACAUCUAAGUACCCCGAGGAAAAGAAAUCAACCGAGAUUUCCUUAGUAGCGGCGAGCGAACGGGAAUUAGCCCUUAAGCGGUUUGUAAGUUAGUGGAAUGAGCUGGAAAGCUCAGCGAUACAGGGUGAUAGCCCCGUACACGAAAAUGAACUUACCGUGAAAUCGAGUAGGUCGGGACACGAGAAAUCUUGACUGAAUAUGGGGGGACCAUCCUCCAAGGCUAAAUACUCCUAACUGACCGAUAGUGAACCAGUACCGUGAGGGAAAGGCGAAAAGAACCCCUGUGAGGGGAGUGAAAUAGAACCUGAAACCGCAUACGUACAAGCAGUGGAAGCCCUUCGUGGGUGACUGCGUACCUUUUGUAUAAUGGGUCAGCGACUUAUGUUCUGUAGCUAGGUUAACCGAUUAGGGGAGCCGUAGCGAAAGCGAGUGUUAACUGCGCGUUCAGUUGCAGGGCAUAGACCCGAAACCCGGCGAUCUACCCAUGGGCAGGUUGAAGGUUGAGUAACAUCAACUGGAGGACCGAACACACGUAUGUUGAAAAAUGCGGUGAUGACCUGUGGGUCGGAGUGAAAGGCUAAUCAAGCCGGGAGAUAGCUGGUUCUCCCCGAAAUCUAUUUAGGUAGAGCCUCGGACGAACACCAUUGGGGGUAGAGCACUGUUAAGGCUAGGGGGUCAUCCCGACUUACCAACCCUUUGCAAACUCCGAAUACCAAUGAGUGCUAUCCGGGAGACACACGGCGGGUGCUAACGUCCGUCGUGGAAAGGGAAACAACCCAGACCGCCAGCUAAGGUCCCAAAGUCAUAGUUAAGUGGGAAACGAUGUGGAAAGGCAUAGACAGCUAGGAGGUUGGCUUAGAAGCAGCCACCCUUUAAAGAAAGCGUAAUAGCUCACUAGUCGAGUCGGUCUGCGCGGAAGAUGUAACGGGGCUAAACUAUGCACCGAAGCUGCGGAUUUAUCCUUUGGAUAAGUGGUAGGGGAGCGUUCUGUAAGCCGUUGAAGGUGAACUGAGAAGUUUGCUGGAGGUAUCAGAAGUGCGAAUGCUGACAUGAGUAACGAUAAUGGGGGUGAAAAACCCCCACGCCGAAAGACCAAGGUUUCCUGUCCCAUGUUAAUCAGGGCAGGGUAAGUCGGCCCCUAAGGCGAGGCGGAAACGCGUAGUCGAUGGGAAACAGAUUAAUAUUUCUGUACUUCUUAUAAUUGCGAAGGAGGGACGGAGCAGGCUAGGCAAGCAUGGCGUUGGUUGUCCAUGUGAAAGUAUGUAGGCUGAAGAAUUAGGUAAAUCCGGUUCUUCUUAAGGCUGAGAUACGAGACGAGGCUCUACGGAGCUGAAGUUGUUGAUGCCCUACUUCCAGGAAAAGCUUCUAAGCAUCAGAUUAUAAGGAACCGUACCCCAAACCGACACAGGUGGUUAGGUAGAGAAUACUAAGGCGCUUGAGAGAACUCGGGUGAAGGAACUAGGCAAAAUAGUACCGUAACUUCGGGAGAAGGUACGCCGGCUAGUGUGAUGAGACUUGCUCUCUAAGCACCGGUCGGUCGAAGUAACCAGGUGGCUGGAACUGUUUAUUAAAAACACAGCACUGUGCAAAAUCGAAAGAUGACGUAUACGGUGUGACGCCUGCCCGGUGCCGGAAGGUUAAUUGAUUGGGUUAGCGCAAGCGAAGCUCAUGAUCGAAGCCCCGGUAAACGGCGGCCGUAACUAUAACGGUCCUAAGGUAGCGAAAUUCCUUGUCGGGUAAGUUCCGACCUGCACGAAUGGCGUAAUCAUGGCCACACUGUCUCCACCCGAGACUCAGUGAAAUUGAAUUUGCGGUUAAGAUGCCGUAUACCCGCGGCUAGACGGAAAGACCCCGUGAACCUUUACUAUAGCUUGACAGUGAACAUUGCUCCUACAUGUGUAGGAUAGGUGGGAGGCUUUGAAACUUGGACGCCAGUUUGAGUGGAGCCAACCUUGAAAUACCACCCUUGUAUGCGUGAUGUUCUAACCUGGUCCCGUAAUCCGGGAUGGGGACACUGUCUGGUGGGUAGUUUGACUGGGGCGGUCUCCUCCCAAAGAGUAACGGAGGAGCACGAAGGUU
rnacentral:rRNA from 1 species